UAAAGGGGAAAAAUGGAACAACUGUAAGAGCAUAAUUAAUAAAAUAUAUAUUUUUUUGAAAAAUGGCCCUAGAGAACAACCUUCCCUCUGCUACCAUGUGAGGACAUAGUAAAAAGGCCAAUGUCUGUAAACUAGGAAGUGGCUCUCACCCAAUACGGAUUUGGCUGGCACCUUUAUCUUGGACUUCCCAUACUUUGGAACUGUGACAUACUUUUCUUUUGUUUGUAAGCCACCAGUCUAUGUCAUUCUGUUAUAGCAGCCCCUAUGGACCACAAUAGCAAGUCAACUAGUUUUAGUGAAUUUAUAGGAUUGUGCUACUAACAGCAAAAUGGAAUUGUAGAAUGUUUCCAACCCCCAUAAAGAUAUCUAUGCACAGGAGAAGGGGUAUAUAAAGGGACUAAAUGGUAAUAGAAAAAAUACAAUAAAGAUUAAAGAGCUUUUUUCAACCCUGCUGCGGAUAAAAUCAAAUUGGCCAUUCCAGCUGGUGGGAUGGGCAGUAGUGCUUGUGGAUCCAUUGCCAGAUUUUUCAAGAUGCAACAGAGCCUAGGAAUUGAAGAUGCAUGAAGGUUGUCAUCAUGUUUUCCAAAAACUUGUCACAGAGGAUGACUGAACCCCUAGGAGUACAACUGCAUGUAACAAACAUAUAGGUAGCUGCAGAUGAAUGAAUGUUCAAGUUCUUAGCUGUGGUAUUUAAAAAUUUUUCAUUGCCUCAGUUGAAAAAAGUCCUAAAAGGGAAAA